CUCAUAUUGGGUGCAUUUGUUUUUUGUUUCUCUCCAUGAGGAUUUUUUUUCUCUCCUUUCCCUUAUUCUACAGGAACUCUGGGAUUCUUCACAAGACGCCAUAGAGGGGCUUCCUGGCCCUGCCUUGGGGAACGGGGGUAAAGGAAUGUCCAACUGCAGUAGACUUUUUUUCUUUCCUUCUUGUGGUAGGCUUUUGUUUUUCUUCCAGCUACAAUAGACAUUUUUUUUCUCUUUUGUUUUGCUUCGGCUCACUCCACAGGAGGUCAAAAUGUGACAGUAUUGCUGAAAGCAAAGGACAAGGAGAAUCUGAAUCAAUAUGGAGCGUGCUGUUUAAAUAAUCACUUGGAGUCAGUUGCUGUAGUGAAACUUAAAACCUGAUCAUUGAAGAAGCCUGCAAUUUAGUAGAAAACACGGUGCACCAGGAUCUGCUGCUCCAGCUGCAUACUGAAGAUUCCAGUCUCUUUUUUUAAAAUACUCUUACACUUGUACUUAGUUUAGUCCUAUAAUUCAUCCCUUAAACCAACUUUGCAAAGUUGUGUUUUUAAAAAAAAAAUAUUAUAGAUCUAUACCUACCCACAAUUCCCAAUUGUUCACCAUGGUCUUAUAUAACACUGCUUACCCAUAAUUUGUGGGAAAUGACAUGUACUGCAUAAAUGAGUUUUCUGGUGAAAUCUUUAUCUUUUGAUCUCAUUGCACGUUUCAGAAUUUUGAGUUGUUUCAAUUCUGAAAACCGUGCUGUUAACUGAGAGCAGGGUGUCUGUGGCUAGUUGCUGUUUUAAUAUUAUUUUGCUACUAUUGUCAUUUAUCUCUUUCUAAGGAUAGAUCCUUCUUUUCUCUUUGCUCUCUUCUCUCCUCUCCUCCUCUUUCCUCUAUCUUUGUUUUUCUGUCUUUCCUAUUUAUAUGUGUAUGUAAUUAGAAGUGUCCAUUAGUGCCAAUUUAUCAGGUUCUGGUUAAUUUGAAUUUUACUGUCACCAGACAAAUAACCUCAGCUUUAGAAACAUCUGAAAUACAUUCCCUUAUAUUUCCUCACUUAGUUACUAGUCCUUCUACAUAAACAAAAAAUCACAAAGCAUUAUCUCCCAAAUAUUUGUGAAAACACUUUAUUAAUAACUGUCAAAAUUGCCUCUCUAAACUGGGUGUGGUGGCGCACGCCUGUAAUCCCAGCACUCGGGAGGCUGAGGCAGAAGGAUCGCCAUGAGUUUGAGGCCAGCCUGGGCUACAUAGUGAGUUCAGCGCCAGCCUGAACUACGCAGCGAGACUCUGUCUCAAAAAAACAAUUGCCUCUCUACUUACAUUUGCCAACUUAACAGUGGUUCUGAACAUAUAAGAUCUCUUUAGUUAUUAAGAGAGAGUAGAGCCUAUAGGAUACAAAAAGGAGGGCAAAUUUAACAACGAUUUGCACAGUUCCUUGGCCCUAGUCCUUAGGCAUACCAAAAAGACAUCACUGCCACCAUUAGUUCAUUUAGCAAAUUGUUUUAAAAAACCAACCAACCGUAGACAAAUUAUCACAUCAAUAGCCAUGAAGAGGAGAGAAGAAAUUAUUCCAAAUAAAGGAGUACUUUUAGCCAAGGCAGUGGUCCAGAGCCCAAGCUUUGCCAUCAGAUAGAUUUGAGCUCAAGUCCUGAUUCCACUUACUGUGUAGUCUUGGAAGUUGCUUGUCAUACCUUGCCUCUGUAAGCCUCAGGUUGAUCAUGUCUAUCUCAAAGGUCUGUUAUCAGGAUUAAAUGUGGUUGGUAUAUGAAGCACUCACUCAUUCAGAAAACAUUUAUUGAUCUACUACCAUGUAUCCCAGACAAUGAGCUUUGUACUGGUAACACAGAGAUUAAGGCCAAAGGCCUGCUUUCAAGGAAUCCAUGAGCCAAGGAAUUCACAAUUAAAACAGCUAAGUAAACAGGAAAUUACAUUUCACUGCCUGCUGCGCAAGCACAAGGACCCAAGUUCAAUCCCCGGUACAAAAAAAAAAAAGAAAAAGAAAAUUACAACACAGUGUAAAGUGAGCUCAGCCUCAGAGGAGCUCACUAACUCAGAUCAGGAUAGGGAUGGUUAAAAAAAAAAAUUUACAAGAGGAGGUAGUCAUCAAGACACUUGAAAAGAACAGAAAUAGAACUUAACUUCCAAGGUUUGAAGCUACUUUGUAGUUUCUAGAGAAACAAAAAUUUUAAUCUGUAGAUGGAUUUUUGUUGUUAUUGUUGUUAUUUUUCAUAUGUGUGGUUGUUUAGUUUAUUUCAAAGUCAGAAAAACAGAGUAGGGGAGGAUUACCCUAUUUCUCAGCUGACCAAAAGGAAGAAGAGUCCAUUUGCGUCACCUUAGUAGUGGAAGAGGUGAGCAAGCCAAAUCCUGAGGCAGGUAUGGUGUGCCAAAAUGAAAAGGAUUACAGGGAAGUUGACCUAACAGGAAGUAGCAAGUCUGGGGUCUCAUUGAUGUUUGCUGGGUGUUCAGCCACAUUUACUUACUCUUUUGAAACAGUGCCAGAAUUUCAUUUUAUUUCUGGAGAACCACAUCUUUCCUCAUUCUCCUGUAUUCUUGUACAGAUGAUCCCAUUUGAUUUUGACUUCAGAGAUUGGCUCUGCUUCAAGCCUGGCCAGUUAGAACCUUCUGUUGGCUCUAGGGACUGGGUCAGGGUGGGUACAUAACCUAAUCAGAGCCAUUGAGUGGAAAUGUGGGACUCUUGGUGAGCUGGUGACAGAAGCAUGCCUUGCCUUCUGCUGGUGUGAACAUGGGAAGCUGUGGACUAGGAGCUGCUGCGAGCCACUUUCCCAUCUGAGACUAAUGUCAGCCAAGAUAGAAAGUUGAAAUCGUCACUGUAGAAUAUGCAGCCCACGAGGGCAGGAACCUUGGCUUUAUUUUUAAAUCUUUUGUUAUUAUUAUUGACACAUCACUCACAUAUAGAAAAAUGCACAAAACAGAUGUUUGAGUCAAAAAUUAUUACUAAGUGAAUACACCUUUUACUUUUACCCAGAUCAAGAAAUGAAACAACUAAGGAAGCUGAGGCAGAAGGAUGGCCAAGUUAGAUGCCUGCAGCCUGGGCUACAUAGUGAGACUUUGUCUCAAAAAGUCAAAAGAAAAAAGAAAAAAAAUUAAAUGGGACAUUACGCCCCAUGCACCUCUUGAAUACUAUAAUCUCUAUCCUCUUUACCAUUAAUACUAUAGUUUUAAAAUUUAUAUAAAUGUGUGUAUCUAGCUUCUGUCACUCAACAUUAUUGUAGAGAAUGCACAUAUAUUUCUAAUGGCUGUAUUCCUAAAUAUAGAACUGAAGUAUCUGUGUGUUCAGCUUUAGAAGAUAUUAGCAAAUUAUUUUCCAACAUGAUCGUACCAAUUUAGUCUUUUACCUUAAUAUAUACUUAUCACUCAACAUCCUACACAAUGUUUAACUUUAUCAGUGUUUUAAAAUGUAGAUGUGAGGUAUAUUAUUGUUUUUUUGGGUUUUGUGGCUUACUUUUUGUGUGUGUGCAGUGGCGGUGGUGGUACGGGGGAUUGAGCUACCGUCCCAGUCUUUUCUUCUCUUUUCAUUCCUUUUCCUUGAGACAGAGUCUCACUAAGUUGCCCAGGCUGCCUUCACACUUGCCAUUCUCCUGCCUCAGCCUUCUGAGUAGCUGGGAUUAUAGGCCUGUGCCAUUGUGCCUGGAUUAAAUUUUUAUCUUUAAAAAUAUGCCAGAUUAGAAGUCCUUUUUACUUGCAUGUGUUAGAAAUUCCUUCUCCCACUCUGUGGCUUGCCUUUUCAUUCUCUUAAUGUUGCCAUAUAAUAAAUGUUAAUGUACUCAAAUUUACUCAAAGUUUCCCUUAUGGUGGUUCUUUUUGUGUCCUAGUAUAAAAUUUUUUCUCUUAUCAUCCAUUCUCUUUAACAUUUAGAGCUAUAAUCCACAUGGAAUUAAAUUUUUGUGUAGGGUAAAAAGUAGAGUAUGUUUUUUUUCUUUUGACUGAGCAGUAUUUAUUUCAAAAGACUGUUCUUUUCUUACUUCUUUGUGUUGUUACAUUUUCCAUAAAUCAAGAGUUUAUAUAUUCACAGACAUGUUUCAGGAUCUCUAUAGUCUUUGAUGCAUCUUUUUGUCUAUCUUCAUAUUAAAAACCUUACUAUACUAAUAUGAUACUAUGUUUUAGGUUUGUUUGUUUGUUUGUUUGUGACAAGGUUUUGGUAUGUAGUCUAAGCUGGCCUCAAACCUGCAGCAAUCCUCCUGCCUCAGCCUCUUGAGUACUGGAAUUACAGGCAUGUGCCACCCUGCCCUGCCUCUCUAUUUUAGUUUUAUAAUAAACUUGAUAGCAGAUAGACUAAGUCUCCCCACCUUGUUCUUUUUAAGACUGU